rnacentral:rRNA from 1 species
GCACAAGCGGUGGAGCAUGUGGUUUAAUUCGUAAGCAACGCGAAGAACCUUACCAGGUCUUGACAUCCCGAUGCUAUUUCUAGAGAUAGAAAGUACUUCGGUACAUCGGUGACAGGUGGUGCAUGGUUGUCGUCAGCUCGUGUCGUGAGAUGUUGGGUUAAGUCCCGCAACGAGCGCAACCCCUAUUGUUAGUUGCCAUCAUUCAGUUGGGCACUCUAGCGAGACUGCCGGUAAUAAACCGGAGGAAGGUGGGGAUGACGUCAAAUCAUCAUGCCCCUUAUGACCUGGGCUACACACGUGCUACAAUGGUUGGUACAACGAGUUGCGAGUCGGUGACGGCGAGCUAAUCUCUUAAAGCCAAUCUCAGUUCGGAUUGUAGGCUGCAACUCGCCUACAUGAAGUCGGAAUCGCUAGUAAUCGCGGAUCAGCACGCCGCGGUGAAUACGUUCCCGGGCCUU